rnacentral:rRNA from 1 species
GACGAACGCUGGCGGCGUGCUUAACACAUGCAAGUCGAACGAAGUGGCGAACGGGUGAGUAAUACGUGGGUAACCUGCCCUCCUUUUUGGGAUAAGCCUUGGAAACGGGGUCUAAUACCGAAUAAAGGGGGACGGGGUCGCGGCCUAUCAGCUUGUUGGUGGGGUGAUGGCCUACCAAGGCGGUGACGGGUACCCGGCCUGAGAGGGCGGCCGGGCACAUUGGGAGUGGGAUACGGCCCAGACGCCUACGGGAGGGAGCAGUUGGGGAUAUUGCACAAUGGGCGAAGGCCUGAUGCAGCGAGGCCGCGUGGGGGAUGAAGGCUUUCGGGUUGUAAACCUCUUUCGCUAUCGGACGGGUAGGUGGAGAAGAAGCGCCGGCUAACUACGUGCCAGCAGCCGCGGUAAUUCC